UAAUAGAUAUAGUAUAACUUUUUUAAUCAUGUGAUAUAUCGUUAUGAUUACAAUUUUUAUGCUAUAACUAAUACUAAUAGUUAUAGUUACUAUAACUAUUAGUUGAUAGUAAAUUUAAUUUUAAGUGGUGACUUUAUUGUUCUUAACAUUCUAGAUGAUGGUACUCUUAUUUUUAUGUCACUCAAGUAUAUCCUUAAAAUUAAUGGUUUAUGGAUCUUGUGUGGUAAACUGUGUUCUUGUGAAAAAUUUGUUUUUUAUUUACAUGCUUAUAAUCUAAUUGAAAUAUCUUCUUGGGUUGUUAUUCUUUCUGGACAAGAAGUAUCACAUGAACCUUUAGAUGGAUAUUUAAUAUCUGAUGGACAACUUUUAGUUACUUUACGUAGUUUAGCAACAAAAUAAUAUUACAUUUGCAUAUAUUUAAGUUGUUAGUUUAACUGAUUAAAACUCAACAAAAAAAAAUCAUUUUUUUAGAUUUUCACUGAUUUGAAUUAAUUUUGUUUUAUUUGAUUUUCUUAUAAAAUAACUUGGUACAAGAGUUGGUACAAUAUAACACAUUUUACCAAUUCUUCUUUUAUUUUAUUAUAAAAAUAUAAUAGCAUAGCUGAAAUAUAAUAAUGUACCUUGAUACAUACUUAGUAAUGUUGAACAUAUGUUAAACAUUUUUGCAUAUUCUUUAGACCUUUCAUUUCAAUUUAAACAGUUUAACAUUCAUUCAGAAGGUCAUGUUUUUUUAAUAUUAUAGUAUUGUUAUACAGGAGAAGAUAUUGAUGGUUCAUUUAUUAACGAAAUAGAUGAUUUUAUGUUAAAGGAACUAAUUCCUCCAAUUAAAGACAGAGUUAUUUUUAAGAAAGAAUUAGCAUCAAAGAAUGUUAUAUGUGUAAGGUCAUCAUCACCUAUGUUAAACUCAUGUAAUGUAAGUUUUACAUUAUCACCUGUUUGUGACAAUAACGAGGCACCUACUAUUUUUGAAUCUUUUUAAGUUAUGUUUUGUUUGUUUGUAAACAUUUACAACUUUGUUUAUUUUCUUUUAAAUUUUAUCUUAUUUAAAAUGUUAUAUUAUUAAACAAAAAAAAAAUAAUUAAAUUGAUACAAUAUAUUUAGCCAAGAUUGUGGGUGUGCACGCAUUUUACACUAUUACGACUGUAUAAUAUAAAAAGUUGUUUCAUAGUUCAUGUCUUGAAUUUAUUUUUUAGUAUUCAGUCUGAUAAACUAAAUUGCCCCCUCUUCUCCUUGCUGCUGUAGAAAGAAAAGAAAUAGACUUUAGUAUUCUAAAAAGAUCAAAACUAAAGGAGUAUGUUAUGAAUUUUAUUUUUGAUGUCAUGAAGCAACAAUACGGGUUAUUUCCAAGUACAAGUAACUUCUAUGAAAUAUCAAAUGAGCUUUUCCUAAGGUAUCCUUCUCUAAAACCUCGUCACUGCAAUGGCUUUGAACUUCUUGUGCAUUUGUUGAAGGCAAAAUUUAAGCAAGUUAGGCGUCCUCUUCUAAAUGAUGAGCAAGUUGCAAAGUUUAAAAUAAAGUACUCUAGAAUUAAUUCUGGUCAUAAGCGAAAUUCUGUCUUGCUGAAUGAGUCUGUUAAUCUUUGCUCAGCAAAACGUCACUGCCAUCAUUCAAGUGAUAAGCUUUUUGCAGCAGCAAGAGUUAUAACAAAUAUAGUUAUUGACAAUAACUGCUUGUUAUUAUUGGGUAGAAUAAAGGAGGCAAUAAAGAAGUUAAUAGAUUUAAAAAAAACCUUUGUCAGCUAGAUGGCAAACAUUAUGCAAUGAGGUACUUGAUGAGAUUAGUGAUGCAACAAUAAAAAACCUUCAUUGUUUAAUUCUUCCAAGCAUUUUUUGUGAUGAAGAAGCACUUUUGUUCACCAUGACACUAGAUCCAAUCUAUCCAACUCCUGCUCUGAAAAUUGAAGGAGAUGCUAUAAAUCCAACACGAAUAAGUCUUGUAGUUGACGGGCUGACACUAAGCAAUUCUGUUCCAGAUGUAACUUGUGGUUUGGGUCUCGUCAUCUGCUCAUAUUAUAUUUUUGAUAUUGCGUAUCCAAAGAAACUACAAAAAAUCCUGUCUUUUCUAGAAAAUUACGUUUUCGAACGAAGGAGUAAACUUCCUGGCAACAUUCAAAGCAUUGCUAGUUUUUUGAACUUAUAAUAUUAAAUUAUAAAACUCAAUAACAUAUUGAUGUUAUUAAUUUGUUUCAAAAUCUUUAUUUAAA
rnacentral:misc_RNA from 1 species